rnacentral:lncRNA from 1 species
AUUUUUAGUAAUUAUUUACUAAAUGUAAAAAAAUAUUUCUAUACAGUUUUUCUUUAUAUUUCAGAUGGAAAGAUAUCAUGGCCAAAAUUUUGUUUUUUUCUCUGACACUAGAUAUUUUUUUUUGACACUAGAUAUUUUAAUGUUCAACAGAUUGCUGGUUUAUUAACUAUAGUCUUUUCAAUCUAUAUUUGAAACCAAAUUGUGUUUUUAUUUCUUUAAUGUCAUUUCUCUUCCUACUUGCAUUUUUAAAGGUUGGCAUUGUAUAUUGAGGAUUUAUUAAUCAUGUUUCUAAAAUGACCACAUUGUGCAUUUAAUUUUUAUGUUAAAGUUGUCAGGCACUAGGCUAUACAGUAAUGGAGCUGGACCUUAAACACAUCUGCAGGAGUUUGCUAAAUAGUGAGAAGCAGAAGGGACAUUCCAGAGAGAAGAGUAGUUAAGUGGAUGUGGGGCAAGAGCAGGUAGCAUCUCUGUUAGCAAUGACACACAGGUGUGAUGAAAACAGGUGCUCUGUUAAGGUUUCUUGGUGUGUUAUGCUAGUAACUGAAGCUUUUGGUAUAAUAAGAAAGGGGUGUUUCACCUUAAGUAAAGAUAAUUGGGUUAUUUAAUGUUUAAAUUUAUAAUUGUCACUGAUUGUAUUUCUACUCAUUAAUUAAAAUCAUUUUAAAAUUAUAAUUUGGACUUAACUUAGACAUAGGAGAUGUAACUAGUAGAAUACAUUAAGGAAAGGUAUAUUAUCAAAAGUAAAUGUUUCUAAUCCUGACAUAGAUGCUGAUUUUUUUCAUUCUACCAUUCAUUUAUUUACCAUCUACUAACAAAAUACUUAUUGAAUACCUACUAUAUGCAAGCAACAGUUCUCAGCAAAUGACACACACCAGUGAGCAAAACAAAGCUCCAUGCCCGGUAUGGAACACACACUGUGGGAGUAUUAAAUAGUAAACAAGUAAAUAAAACAGUGUAUCUGAUGGUGAUAAGUAUAAUGAAGUAAAUAAAGAAGGAAGGAUAUAAACAGUGCAGGGAGCUGAGGGAGGGAAGGCUCUCUAUUAGGAUAGUCAAGAAAGAUCUCAUUGAUCAGUGAACUUGAGCAAAGACCUGAGGAAGGUGAAGGAAUGAGCCAUGCAAAUAUAUACAGGUGGUCCCUGACUUAGGGUGGUUUGACUUAUUUAUUUGGACUUUAGGAUGGUGCAAAAGCUAUAUACAUUCAGGAGAAACCAUAUUUUGAAUCUUGAUCUUGUCCCAGGUUAAUGUUUUGCCAUACUCUCUCAGGCCCUGCAUUGGCAAGUUGCAGCUCCCAGCAUGAGGGUAUGCCGUGCCCUGUACCACUGAGCAAUGUUGUUCAGUAGGUUGAGUGUAUUAAGCCUACUGUUUAGUAGGUUGAGUGCAUUUUUGAUUUAUGAUAUUUUCAACUUACAUCAGAAUGUAACCUCAUUCUAACUGGGGAGUAUCUAUAUAGAGAGGAAUGUUCCAGGUGGAAAAUGAGAAAGUCUAGAGGGGAAGUUGGUAUAUUCAAGGAAAAGCAAAAUGUCAGUAUGACUAAAGCAGGAUGAGUUUAAGAGAGUAAAAGACAAGUCCUUAAGGCUUUUUUGGGGACCUUGGCUUUUACUGUGAAAUGAGAAGCCAUUAAAAGUUUCUGAGAAUAAGUGGUGUGGUGUGCCUUAUUUGGUUAUAUUGAAAAUACAUAAGAGGCAAAGGUAGACACAGAGGCCAGAGAGGAAGGAAUUGCAAUAAUCCAGGUGCAACUGACUAAGUGGCUUGAACUGGAAUGGUGUAAGUCCAAUGAAAAGGAAGAAUCUAUUCUGAAGGCAAAAAUGACGGGAUUUUUUUUUUUAAAGAGAGAGAAUUUUUUUAAUAUUCAUUUUUUUAGUUUUCGGCGGACACAACAUCUUUGUUUGUAUGUGGUGCUGAGGAUGAACCCAG